rnacentral:rRNA from 1 species
CUACGGGAGGCAGCAGUAGGGAAUCUUCCACAAUGGGCGAAAGCCUGAUGGAGCAACGCCGCGUGAGUGAAGAAGGAUUUCAGUUCGUAAAACUCUGUUGUAAGGGAAGAACAAGUACAGUAGUAACUGGCUGUACCUUGACGGUACCUUAUUAGAAAGCCACGGCUAACUACGUGCCAGCAGCCGCGGUAAUACGUAGGUGGCAAGCGUUGUCCGGAAUUAUUGGGCGUAAAGCGCGCGCAGGUGGUUUCUUAAGUCUGAUGUGAAAGCCCACGGCUCAACCGUGGAGGGUCAUUGGAAACUGGGAGACUUGAGUGCAGAAGAGGAUAGUGGAAUUCCAAGUGUAGCGGUGAAAUGCGUAGAGAUUUGGAGGAACGCCAGUGGCGAAGGCGACUAUCUGGUCUGUAACUGACACUAAGGCGCGAAAGCGUGGGGAGCAAACAGGAUUAGAUACCCUGGUAGUCCACGCCGUAAACGAUGAGUGCUAAGUGUUAGGGGGUUUCCGCCCCUUAGUGCUGCAGCUAACGCAUUAAGCACUCCGCCUGGGGAGUACGGUCGCAAGACUGAAACUCAAAGGAAUUGACG